CUUGCACGUUUCCAAAAGAUUCAGUCAGAGAAUCUUUGCCUUGGACGGAUACUCCAUAGGAGAAAACAGGAGAAAGUUGACACUUAACUCCCACAGAGUACCAGCAUAAAGACAAUGGCUUUAAGAGUCUGACUCAGAGUUUCAACAUGAAAGGUUUGCUUUAUAGAGGAAACGCCAAUCCCAGUCCAUCCAGAUAGACCUGGAACCUGAUGAAAGUCGACACCUUUAUUCUGAAAUUUGCAUCACAUCGCUGGCUCCAGUUUAGAAACAUGAUCGUUUCACAGGUAGUAUGCAUUUCAGCGAAUGCUGCCUCUAAACUACCCGUCAGGAAAAAUAAAAUCUAUAAGGUAAUCGUAGUCUAGGAGCCAUCAAUCCCCAAAUGCUUCUCUUAGAAAACGAAUGCCAACAAUUUAGCUAAACAUCUUCCUUGGAAGUGAGCCAUUUCCCAUGUCUCUCUGUUCUCCAAACCGCGAUGAAAUUUCAACCUGCCCAACACGAUUACUGGUCCACCUAGAAAUGCCGUGGAGCGAUUUAAGAGCCUCGGAAAUUUCCUUUAAGGGCAUUCAAGCAGCCCUGAGGAGAGGUCCACAUGGUGAGCCACUGAGGGCCUUGCCAAGAGCCAGCACCAACGGUCCAGGUUUGGAGUGUACCACCUUGGAAGUGAAUCUUCCAGUCCAGUCAAGCCUUCAGAUGACUUCAGAACCGUCCAUGUAAGCCACUCUUGGAUUCCUGACCCACAGAAACUGUUGGAGGCAUUAUCAACAGUUUCUAACAUCACAGACAGACAAACAUGUGCCUCCUGAUUGAAAAAACAGAACAUCACCUGUAGUCUUGCCAGUGAGAUCAAACUGAAGUCCAAUUAACCUCUGGAUCCAGCUGCCAAUUUGCAGGAAAUAGAGGAGAGAAGCAUCUGUUGAACUGCACCAUGAGUAUACACUCAGCAAAGGCCAAACUGUGGAAAAUGAUACAGGUCAAACAGCCUGGAUUCUUUAACAGUAAGUGAUGUUUCUGAAGCACCAAUGAAAAUGAAGUCCUGAAGUCCUGUGCUCAAUAUGAAAUGUUGGAAGUUAGAAGAAAAAAACAAAACUUGGAUCCAAUCUCAAGGCACUUUUUGUUUAAUGGGAAGAAGUGGAUUAUUUUAAAAGCUACAAAUAAAGUUACAUAAAAGUAGCAAAGUUGAUA
rnacentral:lncRNA from 1 species